rnacentral:rRNA from 1 species
GCUAAUAAUCUAGCCCAUAAAAUCCACAUGAGUUAAUCUACUUUUUAUAUUUAACCAAAACAUUUUAAUAUUUUAGUAAAGGAGAUUGAAAAAUUAACCGGAGCAAUAAAAAUAGUACCGCAAGGGAAAGAUGAAAUAAACAUGAAAUAACUUUAAAGCACAAAAAAGUAAAGAUUUCCCCUUGUACCUUUUGCAUCAUGGUUUAACUAGUCUAAUCAAGCAUAAAGAAUUAUAGUCUGACCCCCCGAAACUAAGCGAGCUACUUCGGGGCAGUUUUAAGAACUAACCCGUCUCUGUUGCAAAAGAGUGGGAUGACCCCCAAGUAGAGGUGAUAGACCUAACGAGCUAAGUGAUAGCUGGUUACUCAAGAAAAGGAUUUUAGUCCAACCUAAAGCUUCCCCUAUGAAUAAAAAUUUUCCAUCAAGCUUUUAGAGCAAUUCAAAUAAGGUACAGCCUAUUUGAAACAGGAUACAACCUCAACUGAUGGGUAAUAUAACUUGGCACUAAAUUAAGUGGGCCUAAAAGCAGCCACCUUUAAAAAAGCGUCAAAGCCUAAUUAAAAAAAUUUAAAAUAAUUCCCCCAACCCCCUCCAACCCUCUACCGAUAUUGAGUAAUUCUAUACCCCUAUAGAACCUAUUAUGUUAAAACUAGUAACAAGAAGCUAAACCUUCUCUUAGAUGUACGUGUAAAUCACUAAUGGAUGAACCACUGAUAAUUAACGUCUAUGAACUUACAUUAGUAACUUCCCCCAAGAAAACCCUAAUUACCCCUACGUUAAACUGACACAAGAACAUCUCAAGAAAGAUUAAAAGAAAAAGAAGGAACUCGGCAAAUUUUAACCCCGCCUGUUUACCAAAAACAUCGCCUCUUGUCCAAAAAAUAUGAGGUCCAGCCUGCCCAGUGACUAUAGUUCAACGGCCGCGGUAUCCUAACCGUGCGAAGGUAGCGUAAUCACUUGUCCUUUAAAUCAGGACUAGUAUGAAUGGCAUCACGAGGGUUAUACUGUCUCCUUUCUCUAAUCAGUGAAACUAUUCUCCCCGUGAAGAAACGGGGAUAUUAAUAUAAGACGAGAAGACCCUAUGGAGCUUUAAAUUUUAUAUCACUUGCUCUCUUUAUAUCCCGCCCUAGCCACUUAAUUUUAACUGAGCAUACUGAUAAUAAAUUUUAGGUUGGGGUGACCGCGGAGCAUAAAAAAACCUCCGCAUAGAACAGGCCUAAGCCUUGAACAAUAAGAGCUUCAACUCUAAGUACUAACACAUUAACAUCCAUUGACCCAAUAUUUUUGAUCAACGAACCAAGUUACCCUAGGGAUAACAGCGCAAUCUACUUUGAGAGCUCCUAUCGACAAGUAGGUUUACGACCUCGAUGUUGGAUCAGGGUAUCCCAGUGGUGCAGCCGCUACUAAAGGUUCGUUUGUUCAACGAUUAAAACCCU